rnacentral:rRNA from 1 species
CGGACGGGUGAGUAACGCGUGGAAAACCUGCCGUAUACUGGGGGAUAACACUUAGAAAUAGGUGCUAAUACCGCAUAAGCGCACAGCUUCGCAUGAAGCGGUGUGAAAAACUCUGGUGGUAUACGAUGGUUCCGCGUCUGAUUAGCUAGUUGGUGGGGUAAUGGCCUACCAAGGCAACGAUCAGUAGCCGGCCUGAGAGGGUGAACGGCCACAUUGGGGCUGAGACACGGCCCAAACUCCUACGGGAGGCAGCAG